rnacentral:rRNA from 1 species
CCUACGGGAGGCAGCAGUGGGGAAUAUUGGGCAAUGGGCGCAAGCCUGACCCAGCAACGCCGCGUGAAGGAAGAAGGCCCUCGGGUUGUAAACCUCUUUUAUCAGGGACGAAACAAAUGACGGUAACUGCUGAAUAAGCCACGGCUAACUACGUGCCAGCAGCCGCGGUAAUACGUAGGUGGCAAGCGUUAUCCGGAUUUACUGGGUGUAAAGGGCGGGUAGGCGGGAGGGCAAGUCAGACGUGAAAUUCCAGGGCUCAACCCUGGAACUGCGUUUGAGACUGUUAUUCUUGAGUGAUGUAGAGGCAGGCGGAAUUCCGUGUGUAGCGGUGAAAUGCGUAGAUAUACGGAAGAACACCGGUGGCGAAGGCAGCCUGCUGGACAUUAACUGACGCUGAGGCGCGAAAGCGUGGGGAGCAAACAGGAUUAGAUACCCGAGUAGUC